rnacentral:rRNA from 1 species
UACGGAGGGCGCUAGCGUUGUUCGGAAUUACUGGGCGUAAAGCGCGCGUAGGCGGCUUUGUAAGUUAGAGGUGAAAGCCCGGGGCUCAACCCCGGAACUGCCUUUAAGACUGCAUCGCUUGAAUCCGGGAGAGGUGAGUGGAAUUCCGAGUGUAGAGGUGAAAUUCGUAGAUAUUCGGAAGAACACCAGUGGCGAAGGCGGCUCACUGGACCGGUAUUGACGCUGAUGUGCGAAAGCGUGGGGAGCAAACAGG